UACGAAGGGUGCAAACGUUGCUCGGAAUUAUUGGGCGUAAAGCGCACGUAGGCGGCUUAGCAAGUUGGAUGUGAAAUCCCUCGGCUCAACCAAGGAAGUGCAUCCAAAACUGCUGAGCUUGAGUACUUAAGAGGAUCGCGGAAUUCCCGGUGUAGAGGUGAAAUUCGUAGAUAUCGGGAGGAACUCCAGUGGCGAAGGCUGCGAUCUGGGAAGAUACUGACGCUGUGGUGCGAAUGCGUGGUGAGCAAACAGG
rnacentral:rRNA from 1 species